UGGGGAAUAUUGGACAAUGGGCGAAAGCCUGAUCCAGCCAUGCCGCGUGUGUGAAGAAGGCCUUCGGGUUGUAAAGCACUUUUGUCCGGAAAGAAAACCGCUUCUCUAAUACAGAGGUGGGAUGACGGUACCGGAAGAAUAAGCACCGGCUAACUCCGUG
rnacentral:rRNA from 1 species